rnacentral:lncRNA from 1 species
CUUUUUUCUUAAUUCAGGCAAUGCUAAGCUGCCUUCCACUAUUGCUCCUGUGACCCUCACCCUGGGCAGCCUGCUGGAUGACCAGCACUGGCAUUCCGUCCUCAUCGAGCUCCUCCACACGCAGGUCAACUUCACUGUGGACAAACACACUCAUCAUUUCCAAGCAAAGGGAGAUUCCAGUAACUUGGAUCUUAAUUUUGAGAUCAGCUUUGGGGGAAUUCCGACACCCGGAAGAUCGCGG